UUGUGGUGUGAGUGCGGGAGGUGAUAGGCUGAUUAGGAUUUCUAAAUUGAUGUGCAACCUACAAAUGUGAUUUAUAUUGUAAAAAAACAAAUUCAAUUCCUCCCUUUUCAUUUUUCAAUUGAUUGUUCUCGAAGAGGAGUUUCUUCCCUUAGAUGAUAGACGGAUAACUUUGAACCAAUUGGAAUUGCCUGUUUUAGGAAAUGUCUCGUGUAUGUGAAUUCUUAUGCUCUAUUUGAUGGUUGUUUACAUAUAUAUUAAAGAUAUGGUUGUUCAAGUAUCCUCCAGGUAUAUAUCAAAUAUCAGUUGUUGUAGCCAUGAUGUGACUACGUAUAACCUUGGACCGAUUGGAUCCGUCUUUUGUACAAAAUAUCGUAUGCCUGUGAACUCUUAUGUUUGAUUUUCUGGAGGAAAAAAGUGGUGUUGCAACAUCUGUAAUUUGUUUAAUGAAAGAAGUAUUCAUUUGGAAGGGUUGAAAGCUGAGAGCAAAACAAAUUUUGUCUCUCACACUCCUGGAGACGGCAAUUAAGUUGAAUUUAAAGUUGUUAUCUUAUAUAACAAGUUAUGCUAGUAUCGCGAAUUUGCUGGACGUAUAAAUUUCCAGGUUCAAAAUGAAGGUUCUAGUCUUUGAAGAAGCUAUUUAAUCUGUUUUCACGAAACUUAUUGAAACAACCGGGUUAUGCUCUAACUUUAUUACAGUUUGUUCAAAUGAUAUAUGUUCUUUGAUAGAUUUUUGUUAUGGUUCGCUCUUCAAAAUCGUUUGCUUGCUUUAAAAUUUUCUUCUGUCUAGGGUUUAAAAUCAGCCAGUUUUCCUGUUUCAGGAAAAUGUUGUCCGCUAUGAAAAAGAUUUUGAUGGAUUUAAAGACAUCUCUACAUUAUAGUAAAAUUAUGGGUAAGAAAUCAGUAGUUUAACAUUUUAUUAAAUUUUGUUACAUAUAGGUGAGGGGCUAAAAGAAAGUCAUUUGUAAACUAAAUCCAUCAAUUCUCUUAGACAUGGGUUUCGUCGCUUCCGUGAGGACUCUGGAUUCUAGCAUUCAACACUAUACAACAGUUUUAAAGAAGUUUAUAUGUUUAAGCAUACCAAUGAAGAGGAAGGAAUGAUGGAAAUGCCUACUUGAGAAAAUUCGUUAACGAAGAUGUAACAACUAUUUAUGAUACCUAGCUCAGAAAUUCAAAUUUCAAGCAGCUGUUAAGUUUUUUUUUUUUUAAUCCAUUUAUUAUUUGUUAAUUCAACAGAUCCAAGGGAUACUGAUACUCAUAGAUUGAUCAUUCAAAUUGCAUUUUAUUCAAGCUUUUGCAGAAUAGGCUGUAUUCAAAUUGAGUGACAUUCAAGUCAACGUUUGGAGUUGUUCCCUUUUAGUUAUAAAAUUUGACUAGAUUUUAUGCUUCUGUUUGAUAUCAACUCCUUUAUCAUUUCAAAUGUACCCUUGAAAUCUUGAAUGUAUUUGCAUAUUUUGUUGUACAUUUUGAGGCCGCUUGCUCAAGAGUAUAAGGUGGAGGAGCAAAUUUCAGACAAAAUGGGGGUGAAAAAAGAUGGUUCAGUACACAAAAAUCAAAUGAAAAGAAAACAUAACAACAACUCAAUGCACAGUCUCCAGAAUAUCUGUAAGUUACAUUUUAUGUCAAUACAGACUAAAAUUUAUGCUAAUUUUUCAAAUUUGUGGUCUUCAAAAGAUGUACUUUUAUUUGAGGGGAAAUCUUUUAUUUCUUUUCCUUACUUUAUUUUUGAUAGUGAAUUUCAGACUAAAUAUGGGAGUAUAGCUAGAUCGUUAACAAUAUAUCAUAAUGUUGUGUUUGAUGUAAUUGUGAAUUCAUGAUAAGCUUAACCUUUUAGUCUCUUCGAGAUACUAACAGUUAAGCAGAAGAAAGAUGGUUAGCUUAAUCUUUAGUUAUGUAUCUCAAUCUUUUAUUUGAUGAAAUAAAUUUGUUUGGUGUUAUUUAUUUUAGCUUAAUUAUGGCAUUUCCGUUGAAAAUGGAGAAAUCCCUCUCUCUAAAGAGGCAUGAUCUUCACUCUUCAGCAUACGGAUUCCAAAGCUGAAAGCUCUACUAUUCAGUAGAGAUGAUGAAACGUGGCAGCGGCCUACUCUUUUAAAGAAUACACGUAGUGAUAUUUUAUGUGUCAUCACAUAGAAAAAACUGCUUAAACAUGGGUUUUAUUGACGGCAUUGGAAAACAUUACAUUAGAAACAAGGAAAAAACAGUGGUGUGAGACUUAGAGGUGUAUUUAUCGCAGGGAACAUGUUUUUUUUCUCAUGUUUUGUUUAUCUUAUAUAUAAACCUAGCAUAGCGCUAUUACAUUCGUCAAUGCAUUGUUGGUUUUUCAUUUUUGUUGGUAUGCAAAUGCAUUGGUAAAGCUAAUCACUAUAAAACUCUACCGAGUAAUUGAAAUCCUUUUUGGCUGCGUCACUACUGUGGUUGGCACAUUUGCUAUUGACAGGUCUCACUUGCUUCUUCUAAAAAAAAUUGCUUGGUUGUUUUCCUUUUGUGUCACAAACAGAUCAAAAUGGGGUGGUAGAGAACAGUAAAGUGAGGAGUUUCCUUGCAUCAGUAAAUGCCUAUUCUUCAUCAUUUCAUGCCUUUGAUUCUUAUGCUGCUGAAUUGCUUCUAGAUAGUUAUCUUCAUCCUGUCAUAGGAAGAUCGAUGAUCAAGUGUGAAUGGGUGGUUGAGCAUUUAAUAGACGAAGCAAAAGACUCGAUACGAUUAAUUUAGCAGUCUGAGGAGUGACAUGACAAUUGGCAUGACUUUAUCUGGUGAAGCACAAGAUGGUGACAAUUGCUUCAGCGAAGGAUAUCUUGGCAAAAUCAGAAAGCGAACAUGAAUCCUUCCGCAGAAGCUACAGUAAAGCAUUGACGAGCGAAGAUGAGAACUUAAUGAGUUGUAAAUCACUUUGUAAUUUGUUUAUAAAAGGGGAAAGAAAACAGUGAAGGGGAGGUUGAGUUUUUUAGGGUUUUUGGCAUACUUUGUGAGAGAGUUUUGUUACGACCUAGUUGUAUGAACUCAUAACUGUGUAUUCCCCUAAUAAUCGUAAUGAAAUUACCCAUGUGGAUGUAGGUCUUAAC